ensembl:lincRNA
UUUUCAUGUAAAUAUAGUCACGCAUCAGAACAGUUCAUGUAUCUUGACUGUUUAAAAAGUGGUCAUAUAAAUACGCUUAUUCUUAUUUUUUUUCUAAUUCUCAAGAAUCAUUUCCCUUGUGUAACAGUUUCCCAUCCUUUUUGUUUUCUAGAUUAUGUUUGUUUUGUUUUUUCAUCCACUAUACUUUAUGAGAGGCCAGUGUCUGGCACAUGUAGCACAUACUGAUUAAUUCUUAUUGCAUAACAUUUUGCCUAGAAAUUCCAUGGCUUAAAACAAUAAUCAUUUGUAACUGUUCAUGCCUCUUUAAAGGCUGGUGGAAGCUCAGCUGGUGCACACUGAGUUCAGUUUUGUGGUUUUGCCUUUCACUCUGUGCCGGUCCAUCGGAUGCCGGGGGCAGCUCUGUUCCAGGCUGUGGAGACCACGACGGUGGAGACCAGGAUGGUCUUUUUCUUUUAUCCUGUUCCUGGGACUAGAGUACCACCUGAGGUAUGUUCUUCUCAUAAGAAUGGCAAAAAUUUUAGAGAGCAAGUGGAAACACAGGAGGAUAUUAUGUUCUUGGCUCAGAAAUUACAUACUUCUACCUACAUGCCACUGGUCAAAAUGGGUUCCAAGCGGACCCCAAGUCAAGCAAUGGAGAAGUCCACUCCGUCUUCCUUCAGGCCACACAAAGGUAUGGAUGCAAAAAGAAGACUGGAGUUGGGAUCGAGAGACAGAGAGAGCACAAGCUGCCGGGAGAAGAAGAGAGAAUCUGAGGCCGACUCCGCUGCACUGAGUGCAGAGCCUGACGUGGGGGCUCAAUCCCAUCGCUGCGAGAUCAUAACCUCAACUGAAAUCAUCCAAGCACCCCAAUAUUUGUCUUUUAAAAAGGACUUUCAAUGUUUUUUGCAGUCAUAUUGAGUGGGCUUUAAGCACUAAGGCAGGGUUUGUAGGAAUGAUUGUUCCUACAAAUGUGGGGUUCUCAGAUCCCCUCAGAAACUACUGCACAAACAACUUUGUGAACACCAGCCUCUGGAACAGUUUCUGAACUUACUGUCUUAGAAUGUAAUAUUUAUCAAAUGUGAGAAUAUUUUGGGUAAUAUUAUCUGAUCAGGACUGCUACAUAUUAUUUUAUUGUGGAGGGGCAUUUAAUUCCAAAAAUUUUUAUUAAUUACUUUGCCUGAGGUCAUACUUCUGGUGAGCAUCGGAUUUGGGUUUGAACUCGCACACUAGCUCAGGCCUCCGUCAUUGGGGUUAAUGUUGGAUGAGCCUAAUAAAGGUUCGGUUUCAAAGAUAAUUUUGUGUCUGCGUAUAACAAAAACAACAAACAUAUGAACUAAAUUUCUGCAAAAUGGCUUUAACUAUGAGGUGAUUACUUUCUAAGUGGUGUUAUUUUGCUUACAUGUAGAGGCUUUUUUUUUUUUCAAAGAUAAUUAUUCCUCCAUAAUUUCCUCCGACAAACAAUGUUAGGGUUGGGCAUAGACAGAAGCAAGUUUUACAGAAAUACAAUGUGUAGGUUUAUCACAUGACAGUGUAACAUUUUUGCAUUUUAAUUUGUAAAUGAAAAAAAAUCUCCUAUUAACAAUGGCCUCAUAUCUUGGAAAGGAAGCUUUAUAAAAUAAUUAAAAACCUGUUUUUAGAAUAUGUACGCUAUUCAAACUGAUCAAAACCACAAACAAAAUCUGAUACCUUUAAUAAAAGUAUAUUUGUAAGAUAUUUUAACUUUAUCAUUAAGAUUUGUUUGUAAAGAGACCACCAUUUACUAUAUAUUCUUACUUUUAACUUAUAGUCACUGAUGUACAUGUAAACUUAGAGAGGCUUUUAUAAAUAUGUCAAAACUAGCCAGACAUAAUCCAAAACACAAACCAGAGCCAAACACAAUAUUCACCGUAAUCAAAGCCAGUGCACAGGGAGAACUCGUUUGUAGAUUGUAUGUUUGCUUAUUAGGUUUUGAAAAAUACAGCAAUGUCCUACCAACAGAAAUAAUUUAGGUACCUGGAUAUAUCGGACUACAUUUUUGAAAAAGAUAUUUAUAUCAGUACUGUCUUCUGGAGGUGUAUUAAGAAUGUAAUUAUUCUUUCAAUUAAUUCAUUCUAACUAACAAACUGCUUAGAAAUUAAAGCAGGGAAAAUAAUCUUUUUGCUGACUCUAUAAAUAGAAA